rnacentral:misc_RNA from 1 species
AGGACACCCUUCCUUCAUUGUUUGGAUAACAAAGAAAAUGAAGAUUGGUACCUAACAGAAAUUUUUUUCUGAAAAGGCUAAAAGAGCCGCUCAAGCAUGUUUUUAUUUGUUGGUAGAAAGAGCAAACUAAAAUUGCACCCAUUUUCUACUCUUUCCCAUCCUAAGCUCUCCAAUUUCAUAGAAUUGAAAAUUCUAAGAUCCACUGAAAAAGGGAGCUUGUUCUUUUCCUUUCCUUCCAACCAAAUAAACGACUGAACCUUUCACCUCAUCUAUUUUCUUUUCCCUUUUCUUGUCCACUCAUUCUUCUACCAAACCACACAAAAUGUUAGGCAAUACAUCUCUAAAUCAGAAGUGUUAGUAAAAAAUUACCUUAUAUCAUAAACUUAAAACUCACCAAAAAAUUAGUGUGCUCAAGAAGAAAAAUAUACUAGUCAAUGUUGCCACAGAAUAUGAUGACUUGAAUCACUUGACAUUAUUUGUAAGUCUUUGACAAUCAUGUAAUCAAAUUAUGCACACAGGAAAAACUAAUUGAAUUUGGUACAAUAAAUGCAAUAUGAACUAACCAGACAUCUGUGAAAGAGAGGGAAAACAGGGGAGGGAGGAGUGGGAGGAGAUGAUCAAUAUCUUUCAACCCAUUGGAAUAGAUUAGAACAACAACAAAAGGAAACAUCAAUUUGGUACCAAGAAUACAAAAUUCAUAAACAAUAUACGAAAAGAAAAAUCAGUAAUCAAGCUUACGUUAAGAAUUGAAGGUUCAGGU